UUUUGUGUGACUGACGGAUGAGUGGAGUUUACCACGGGGAGCACAAAAGUAAAAAAUAGCCGACCGUCUGGGCAG
rnacentral:ncRNA from 1 species